rnacentral:rRNA from 1 species
AGAGUUUGAUCAUGGCUCAGAUUGAACGCUGGCGGCAGGCUUAACACAUGCAAGUCGAGCGGGGAUUGGGUGCUUGCACCUAAUCUUAGCGGCGGACGGGUGAGUAAUGCUUAGGAAUCUGCCAUUUAGUGGGGGACAACAUUCCGAAAGGGAUGCUAAUACCGCAUACGCCCUACGGGGGAAAGCAGGGGAUCUUCGGACCUUGCGCUAAAUGAUGAGCCUAAGUCGGAUUAGCUAGUUGGUGGGGUAAAGGCCUACCAAGGCGACGAUCUGUAGCGGGUCUGAGAGGAUGAUCCGCCACACUGGGACUGAGACACGGCCCAGACUCCUACGGGAGGCAGCAGUGGGGAAUAUUGGACAAUGGGCGAAAGCCUGAUCCAGCCAUGCCGCGUGUGUGAAGAAGGCCUUUUGGUUGUAAAGCACUUUAAGCGAGGAGGAGGCUACCUGGAUUAAUACUCUAGGAUAGUGGACGUUACUCGCAGAAUAAGCACCGGCUAACUCUGUGCCAGCAGCCGCGGUAAUACAGAGGGUGCGAGCGUUAAUCGGAUUUACUGGGCGUAAAGCGUGCGUAGGCGGCUGAUUAAGUCGGAUGUGAAAUCCCUGAGCUUAACUUAGGAAUUGCAUUCGAUACUGGUCAGCUAGAGUAUGGGAGAGGAUGUAGAAUUCCAGGUGUAGCGGUGAAAUGCGUAGAGAUCUGGAGGAAUGCCGAUGGCGAAGGCAGCCAUCUGGCCUAAUACUGACGCUGAGGUACGAAAGCAUGGGGAGCAAACAGGAUUAGAUACCCUGGUAGUCCACGCCGUAAACGAUGUCUACUAGCCGUUGGGGCCUUUGAGGCUUUAGUGGCGCAGCUAACGCGAUAAGUAGACCGCCUGGGGAGUACGGUCGCAAGACUAAAACUCAAAUGAAUUGACGGGGGCCCGCACAAGCGGUGGAGCAUGUGGUUUAAUUCGAUGCAACGCGAAGAACCUUACCUGGCCUUGACAUAGUAGAAACUUUCCAGAGAUGGAUUGGUGCCUUCGGGAAUCUACAUACAGGUGCUGCAUGGCUGUCGUCAGCUCGUGUCGUGAGAUGUUGGGUUAAGUCCCGCAACGAGCGCAACCCUUUUCCUUACUUGCCAGCAUUUCGGAUGGGAACUUUAAGGAUACUGCCAGUGACAAACUGGAGGAAGGCGGGGACGACAUCAAGUCAUCAUGGCCCUUACGGCCAGGGCUACACACGUGCUACAAUGGUCGGUACAAAGGGUUGCUACCUAGCGAUAGGAUGCUAAUCUCAAAAAGCCGAUCGUAGUCCGGAUUGGAGUCUGCAACUCGACUCCAUGAAGUCGGAAUCGCUAGUAAUCGCGGAUCAGAAUGCCGCGGUGAAUACGUUCCCGGGCCUUGUACACACCGCCCGUCACACCAUGGGAGUUUGUUGCACCAGAAGUAGGUAGUCUAACCUUAGGGAGGACGCUUACCACGGUGUGGCAGAUGACUGGGGUGAAGUCGGAGCAAGGUA